rnacentral:snoRNA from 1 species
UUUGCAUGAUUAAAUGUUCCACCUUAUUCGCAGUUUCCACGCAAGACGUCACUCGAGCCUUUGAGACGUGCGAUGAGCGUUCAACCUUCCUUGGAUGUAUGACCUA